rnacentral:rRNA from 1 species
UACGUAGGUCGCAAGCGUUGUCCGGAUUUACUGGGCGUAAAGAGCGCGCAGGCGGCUGGUCAAGUCCGAUGUGAAAUCUCCCGGCUCAACUGGGAAACUGCAUCGGAAACUGAUCGGCUUGAAGAUGGGAGAGGGUAGUGGAAUUCCUGGUGUAGCGGUGGAAUGCGCAGAUAUCAGGAGGAACACCAAUGGCGAAGGCAGAUCUCUGGGCCGUAACUGACGCUGAGGAGCGAAAGCAUGGGGAGCGAACAGG